AAGACAAGCAUGCCUUCAACAACAACACACCUAAAUCACAAGCUUCCCCUGCUCUCAGCCCUCCGUCUGUUUCCCUGCCUUGUGGAUCUACGUAGCUGUCCACGGUCAUUAUGCAGUAGAUAUACAGUAUAUCCAUGCACAGAGAGGUCUAAGUGCCACCUGGCAGCAACCGUCUGCUUGAUAUGUCUGCUUUACCAGGGGCAGACUAUAGGAGGGCAUCGCAGAGAAUUUAUCAGACAAUGAAGAGAAGGCCUUGAACAUUAUUUCCCUCCCUCGCCUCUGGAAAGGCAGGACUGCCCGACUCCAACUCAGCCUUGUGAUGCUGCAGGCUGUGCAAAAUCACAGAAAACUCACCCUGGAUGAAGAGGACUUAAGGCUUACUGUGCUUGAUGUAGUUGUGGUAGGAGGUGUCACGCAUUGUGCUUAUGGCUCUGAGCUUGUGAUCCAAAGCUUGUGACUCUGAGAGCCUCUGAUGGGCCCUUGAGCAAGAUUCUUCUCCACCAACUGCUCACCUGUAUGCUUGGAUUGUAUCCUUUCUCAAUUGUAGAUUGCUUUUGAUAAAAACAAAUGACAAAUGAAAAAGUGUCAAAUGGUGUGUAUUUCUUUCUCCUUUGUCCAGCAGGUUUUUUUUUUGUGUGUGUGUGUUUGUCUAAUUUCCCCCCUUUAAACUUUAAAGUAUUAACAGCUCUCCAGGUCUGUUCAAAUGGAACUGUAACUCAAGAAGCUACAAUCAUCAAUUUAAAGGGCAAUUAUAUGAUCAUGUGAAUGACGCAUUGGCCACCUGAAGCUUCCUGGCUCACAACCAUGACAUUCUCUACUCUUGACUGUAAGGUUUGUGGCUUUAUCUUGUAUCUGCCUGUAGAUAAAAUGCCUUUGAAGAAAGUUUGUCCUUGUGUUUUAUGUGCUAGUGUGUGUUUACACGUUCAUGUGUACAAGACAUACUGGUUGGUGUUUAGACCACCAGGCAGGAUGAUGGAGAUUUUGCAUGAAAGUCACCUGGCUGAUGCUGGUCCUGUGUUCAAUAUGAAGAUGAGGUGGGUCCUUCUGCCCCCACCACGAGCACCUUAAUUGCUGCAGGGAUGAUUCGCAAAAGACAGAUAAACUAUCAGAUCAGGCAGCCCACAUCACACACUCCAUCUCCAUACAGGUGUGAUGGUCCAGCAGUUUCCUUUACCAUUAAUCUGAAAAGCAUUGAACAGUUUGCAUCAGGGUGAGAAUGCACGACAGUCCAGACAUCAACAGCUAACAAAACAAAGCUUCAGCAUGGGGGAAACAAGUGGCAGCGUGGACAGUUGGUGUUAUAAUUACAUCUUAAACGGGUCAUUAGAAGAAGGUCAACUUGUUGUGACAUCGCACCUGGUGGCCAACCCGUUGAAGAUGGCUAAGAAAGAUUAGUGCUAGCACUCAAUUGGACACAUCUUGAUCAAACUCAUUACAACUCACAGCAAGCCAUCAUGAUAAAAAAAGAGUGAAAGGGAUAAAAAGCCUACUUCAUGAGGAGUGAAAUCAAAAUGCUGACGUAAAUAAUAGCUUGGACAAUCAGUUUGAAGCAGGCUUCAAAAGGGGCACCCAGUAUGGUUGGAAACUUUCUCUCUAUGCUUUUCAUUGCAGGUGUUUCUUAAUUAACAGAGGCCCACUUCAUAAGACACCCUAUGCCAUUAAUGCCACAUCACAGUCCUGAUGUCUGAUUACCAGCAUGUGGACAAAAUUACCAUACUUUCCAGGCAAGUAUUUUACAUGAAGUAUUCCUGAACUUUUAAGAUGUCUAUUGAUUAAAAAACAAAAAACAACAACAACAACAAAAAAACAAUAUUCCAUUGUAAACUUGGCACAAAAUAUGUGCCAUAGAGAUGUUUUUAUGUAGUAAAAAUGCAGAAUGGGCAUGGUUGAGAAUGGGCAUAGCUCAAAUGCCUAGCACAAGAAAGUACUGGGUGAGUGAUGCAUGUUACAUUCUUUUAGCUGAUGUCAUGCAUCUCAACCACUUUCAGCUAUUACUGUCCUCAAGUCACUGUCAACAUUUAAUAUGGUUAUCUUUGUAUUUUUAAAAAACUGAAUGGAGAUGAAUAAAAUUGCAGUUACAAUUUUAGAACGUUGAAAACCCGUUGCUAUAAUUGUGCAACAUCUGUAUAAAAAUGACCCUGAAACAAAAAAAUACAAAAGUUGACCAGAUAUCUAAAAAAAAAAAAAAAGAAGAAGAAGAAGAAGAAGAAGAAGAAGAAGAAGAAGAAAAAGACAAGAUUUAGAUGUUGUCUUCUCCUUACAUUUCUUUUCUUUCUAUCUGUAAACUUUUUUUAUACUGUAUUGUCACAUAUUGGGUCAUUUCUCCUUUGCCCAUAUUAAUCAACACUUUUAUCAAAACAACUAUUUGACAUAUUUGUUUCUCUUUAGCUCACUCACUUACUCUGAAAGGCUCUAUCAUUAAAAAUGUAACAGUAUCAAAUAUUGUGUAAGAUUAUCUAUUGAUGUUAUAUACAACGCACACUGGUUUACAGAGAACUUGAAUUGACAACUGAUGGUCACAACUAAAAUAAACCUGAAUACAAAAAGGCCAGAUGUUUUAUUAUUAUUUUUUUUGGUACAGAAUGUAAUUUUGAUUUUGUAUAAAUAAGGAAGUGUUCAGUAAUGAUGCUUUAACAAAAUAAUCACAUUCAGAUUUAUGGACUUUGAAAAAAUGUUAAAAAUUAUUUUUUAACGAGUUACCAUUUAAUAAUAAGUGACCCAUGAUAAAACUGCAUAAUUUAGCAAGUGUAUAUGCAUAUAAACUGUUGGUUUUACUAUUCAGUCAUUAAGCUGAAACAAUUUUCAUUCAGUGUGUACAUGCAAAUAAAU
ensembl:lncRNA